rnacentral:lncRNA from 1 species
AACUGCUUCUUGCUGCCGCCAUAUGAAGAAGGACGUGUUCGCUUCCCCUUCCUCCAUGAUUGUAAGUUUCCUGAGACCUCGCCAGCCAUGCUGAACUAGUGAACAGGAAACCUACAGAAUAGGAGAAAAUUUUUGCAAUCUACUCAUCUGACAAAAGGCUAAUAUCCAGAAUCUACAAAGAACUCAAACAAAUUUACAAGCACAAAACGAACAACCCCAUCAACAAGUGGGCAAAGGACAUGAACAGACACUUCUCAAAAGAAGACAUUUAUGCAGCCAACAGACACAUGAAAAAAUGCUCAUCAUCACUGCCCAGCUAAAUCUUGACUUCUAUUGAAGAAGUGAAGGAUGGAUUUUGUAAGCCUACCAGCAGCCAAAGGAGACUAAGAGGAGUCAUUCAGGAAUAUGAGGGUUAUGAAGACAGUGGUGUCCCAGAAACCAAGGAGAAGAGGAUGUUGCAUGAAGAAGGAGAUGAUGGUUUCACUUUGGUUACAUUUAUCCAAAUGCCCCGUCCAACUCUUCAGUGUCCCUAGUAAAAUCUGGUAUAGAGAUGGACACUGUUUUUUAGGUGAGGCCUGCUGAGUGUGGAGAGUUGUGAAAAAUUUUUCCCUUAAAUUGAGAAUGUUUUAAAUAAUGCAGCCUAUGUUUUCUUUAAGUAACAAGGCCAUCCCACUGACUCACACUGAUCUUGUUCUCAGCAAAAAACUCCCUGCUCUUCCUCAUAUUAAUUGCCAUAAAAACAAGUCACUUCUAUCAUGCAUUUGGCUCAUUGAGUUAUGAAAAUAUGUAGGUAUUUCGUUUCUUUUUAUGUAAAUUUAUGCUGGUUUUAGUCCAUCAUUUGA